rnacentral:rRNA from 1 species
CGGGCGUGCGGUGGGUACGGGCAGGCUAGAGUGUGGUANGGGAGACUGGAACUCCUGGUGUAGCGGUGAAAUGCGCAGAUAUCAGGAAGAACACCGAUGGCGAAGGCAGGUCUCUGGGCCAUUACUGACACUGAGAAGCGAAAGCAUGGGGAGCGAACAGGAUUAGAUACCCUGGUAGUCCAUGCCGUAAACGUUGGGCACUAGGUGUGGGGGACAUUCCACGUUCUCCGCGCCGUAGCUAACGCAUUAAGUGCCCCGCCUGGGGAGUACGGCCGCAAGGCUAAAACUCAAAGGAAUUGACGGGGGCCCGCACAAGCGGCGGAGCAUGCGGAUUAAUUCGAUGCAACGCGAAGAACCUUACCAAGGCUUGACAUGCACCGGACAGCCCCAGAGAUGGGGUCUUCUUCGGACUGGUGCACAGGUGGUGCAUGGUUGUCGUCAGCUCGUGUCGUGAGAUGUUGGGUUAAGUCCCGCAACGAGCGCAACCCUCGUUCCAUGUUGCCAGCGCGUUAUGGCGGGGACUCAUGGGAGACUGCCGGGGUCAACUCGGAGGAAGGUUGGGACGACGUCAAAUCAUCAUGCCCCUUAUGUCUUGGGCUUCACGCAUGCUACAAUGGCCGGUACAAAGGGUUGCGAUACUGUGAGGUGGAGCGAAUCCCAAAAAGCCGGUCUCAGUUCGGAUUGGGGUCUGCAACUCGACCCCAUGAAGUCGGAGUCGCUAGUAAUCGCAGAUCAGCAACGCUGCGGUGAAUACGUUCCCGGGCCUUGUACACACCGCCCGUCAAGUCACGAAAGUCGGUAACACCCGAAGCCAGUGGCCCAUCCCUUGUGGGGGGAGCUGUCGUAGGUGGGAUCGGUGAUUGGG